rnacentral:rRNA from 1 species
UACGUAGGGGGCAAGCGUUGUCCGGAUUUAUUGGGCGUAAAGAGCGUGUAGGCGGCUUUACAGGUCCGUUGUGAAAACUCGAGGCUCAACCUCCAGACGUCGACGGAAACCGCGUGGCUAGAGUCCGGAAGAGGAGAGUGGAAUUCCUGGUGUAGCGGUGAAAUGCGCAGAUAUCAGGAAGAACACCAAUGGCGAAGGCAGCUCUCUGGGACGGUACUGACGCUGAGACGCGAAAGCGUGGGGAGCGAACAGG